CCAGAGGAAACGGUUCCUGGCACAUAGUAGGUGUUCAAUUGAGGUUUGUGGAAUUGAAUUGCACGCCAAUAUGUCUAUGAAACAGUAUUUUAAAAAUAUGUGACUUUUCUCCCUAAAAAAAUCACAGAGUUGUCAACACUGAAAACUUUGUAGCUUCUAAAGAAAGUUACUGAUCAGUGAAGCAAAGAACAAGUCAAGAAUCAAGUACGGUUUGCCCUUCAAAAACCAAUGACUGACAACAAUAAAGCUACAAGUGAUUUAUUAUCUUCUUGAGGUGCAUACAUUUAUUUUGCUCAAGUUUCUCUCUCCGUAAUAGGAACUAAAAGGUAUGGGGACAUCUAGAUGGAGUUGUUGAUUUGCAGUGGAUGUGUGUGCUGAAGGGUCUUGGCUGGAGCCAGUUCCAUGCAAGAUCAAGCCAUAAGCAAACCAAAAUUCUGAGGAGCAAAAGCUAUGAGGACAUAGAAGGCCUUCACCGGAUGCCAGUGUCACACUCUUGAACUUUCACACCUCCAGAACCGUAAGCCA